AUAUUGGCAUCUUCAUUCUGUAAAUCGUGUUUUAUAUGUAUAUCUGUAUGUGCAUUUCAGUUAGAAGGUGCGGCAAACAUAGACGGUAGAGGACCAAGCGUAUGGGAUAACUUCACCCAUGAGCAUCCAGAAAAGAUAACUGAUGGUAGCAAUGGAGAUGUUGCUAUUGAUCAAUAUCACCGUUAUAAGGAAGAUGUGGCAAUUAUGAAGGAUAUGGGGUUGGAUGUUUAUAGGUUCUCUAUCUCAUGGUCCAGAUUGUGACCAAAUGGAAAACUAAGUGGUGGAAUUAACAAGAAGGGAGUCGAAUACUACAAUAAUCUCACCAAUGAACUCCUACGCCAUGGUAAAGAGCCAUUAGUGACACUCUUUCAUUGGGAUGUUCCCCAAGCCUUAGUAGACGAAUAUGGUGGUUUGUUAAGCCCUCGUAUUGUCGAUGACUUUAAAGUAUACGCAAACCUUUGUUAUAAGGAAUUUGGUGAUCGAGUAAAGCAUUGGACCACACUUAAUGAACCAUAUACCAUUAGUAACCAUGGUUACACAAUCGGGAUCCAUGCUCCAGGACGAUGCUCUGAUUGGUAUAACCCAAAAUGCCUUGGUGGAGAUUCGGGUACUGAACCAUAUUUAGUGACACACAAUCUACUCAUUGUUCAUGCAGCUGCUGUAAAAUUGUACAGGGAAAAAUAUCAAGCAUGUCAAAAUGGUGUCAUAGGAAUAACUGUUGUAUCACAUUUGUUUGAGCCCGCUUCGGAGUCACAAUUAACAAGAUAAAGACGCUGCAUUUCAAGCUUUGGAUUUUAUGUAUGGAUGGUUUAUGGACCCAUUGACAAGAGGUGACUACCCGCAAAUCAUGCGAUCUAUUCUUGGUUCACGGUUUCCAAAUUUCACGGAAGAACAAUCUAAUUCACUGAGUGGGUCAUAUGACUAUAGUGGAAUAAACUACUACUCUGCUAGAUAUGCAAGCGUUUAUCCUAAGGAUUAUUCUGUACCUACACCUCCAAGCUACCUAACAGAUGUUCAUGUUAAUGUUACAAGUGAUCUCACUGAUCUUCAAAUGGGAUUGCAGGCUGCUUCAGACUGGUUAUAUGUUUACCCAAAAGGACUUUACGAUCUUGUACUCUACACAAAGGAAAAGUAUAAUGAUCCAAUUAUGUACAUUACUGAGAAUGGCAUGGAUGAGUUCAAUAAUCCCAAAUUAUCACUCGAGCAAGCCCUUAAUGAUGCUAAUAGAAUUGACUACUACUAUCACCACCUUUGUUACCUCCAAGAAGCAAUGAAGGAGGGUGCUAAUGUGCAGGGAUACUUUGCAUGGUUUUUGCUAGACAACUUUGAAUGGAGCGAAGGAUAUACUGUUCGAUUUGGUAUCAACUAUAUUGAUUAUGACAAUGGACUGGAAAGACACUCAAAACUCUUGACGCAUUGGAUCAAAAGUUUUCUCAAGAGAUCCUGAAUUAGUAAGAAGAAAAUCCAAAGAUGUGGGAACAAUAAUGGUAGAGCUACAAAAUUUGUAUCAAAUUUGAAUCCCAAGGAUGGAUAAAGUACAAUGGCUCUU